UCUUAAGAGAGAUGAGCCUGGG
rnacentral:piRNA from 1 species